rnacentral:rRNA from 1 species
CGAGUGAGAGGAAGAGCUCAAGUUGGAACCUGUUUGGCCUAGCUAAACCGGAUUGUAGACUGUAGAAGUGUUUUCCAGGCAAGCCGAGUAAAUAAGUCCUUUGGAACAGGGCAUCAUAGAGGGUGAGAAUCCCGUCUUUGGCUUGAGCAUUUGCCUUUUGUGAUACGCUUUCAAAGAGUCGAGUUGUUU